rnacentral:misc_RNA from 1 species
UACGAAGGGGGCUAGCGUUGUUCGGAAUUACUGGGCGUAAAGGGCGCGUAGGCGGACCAUUAAGUCAGGGGUGAAAUCCCGGGGCUCAACCUCGGAAUUGCCUUUGAGACUGGCGGUCUUGAGGACGGGAGAGGGUCGUGGAAUUCCCAGUGUAGAGGUGAAAUUCGUAGAUAUUGGGAAGAACACCGGUGGCGAAGGCGGCGACCUGGACCGUAUCUGACGCUGAGGCGCGAAAGCGUGGGGAGCAAGCAGG